GAUGAACGCUAGCUACAGGCUUAACACAUGCAAGUCGAGGGGUAACGAGAGGAAAGCUUGCUUUCCUUGUCGACGACCGGCGCACGGGUGAGUAACGCGUAUCCAACCUGCCCCCAACUAGGGAAUAACCUUGCGAAAGUAAGACUAAUACCCUAUAAUUUCCUCAGAUGUCAUCUGACGAGGAAUAAAGAUUUAGCGGUUGUGGAUGGGGAUGCGUCUGAUUAGCUUGUUGGCGGGGUAACGGCCCACCAAGGCAACGAUCAGUAGGGGUUCUGAGAGGAAGGUCCCCCACAUUGAAACUGAGACACGGUCCAAACUCCUACGGGAGGCAGCAGUGAGGAAUAUUGGUCAAUGGGCGGAAGCCUGAACCAGCCAAGUAGCGUGCAGGAUGACGGCCCUGUGGGUUGUAAACUGCUUUUGUACGGAACGAAAAGGUUUGGGCUAAUAAGCUGAGCUCAUGACGGUACCGUAAGAAUGAGCACCGGCUAACUACGUGCCAGCCGCCGCAGUAA
rnacentral:rRNA from 1 species